ensembl:lncRNA
UAUUAAUUUCAUAAUGGGAUUUUUUAGUUCAAUGAAAGGUUAGAUUUUUGUGAUUUUAUUUUUAAAUAAAAGAUCAAAAGGAUUAAUAAUGCAGGUUUAUUUUCACAGCCUUCUUUGAUCAUAUUUACCAAGAGUACCAACAAUUCUGACCACGUGUGUAAAUAACUUAUAAAGGUUGUGUACAUUGUAGUAUAACAAGCUCUUGGCUUGACUCUGUGCUGUCCACUUCUUGUAAUUGGAUAGCCUCUGCUAUGCGCCAAUUUUAGAUCACCUUAGUCAGGAAUUUUAAAGAAGUAGCUUAAGUUGGUUAUGGAAAUGCUGUCUGUUGUGCUGUGCUGGGCCUUUCUCCCAGUCUUGCUGCUGUUAACAGAAUGAGCCGAAGCGAAGGACCACUCCAGUGAUUUUUGAUGAGAUUUCUGAAGUAUUGAAAGCAGUUUAUGUUUAUAGCAGUGAGAGAUGUUAAACAGUAUAGAGGAUAAUAUGGAGAAACACAAAAUGCUCUUAAAAUAGGAGCUGUUGAAGGUUUGUUUUUAGGAUACCAAAUUAAAUGUUUCUUCACAAAGUAUAGCCAUUAGUGUACUGUUUGUGUGUUUUUCUAUCAAUUUACUAUACAGGAGAGUGAAGAGAGACAGGAGAGUGGUGGGAUCUGGAAGCGUGGACUCAACCUGAACCUUCAUAGCAGAAAUUGUGAAUUGAGUCGAGUGUGCUCUUGUAAUAUUUAAUUAUAAUUGGAUUUUACUUUAGUCUUACAGAGAAUGUGUUGUACAGUUCGAAUCCUCAGCCUAUGUUUUUAUUGAUGAUUAUAAAGGGCCGGGGACUGGCAUCCAUGAAGUGCACCAGAGAAGCAGAUGUUUGAAGAAGCUCAGAGGACGUCUUUGACUUCAAAUCAGGAAAGACAGAACAGGGUUUGUCUAACAAAAAUAGCACCUGGUUUCAUCAUUACUUCUUCUUGGAUGGCCAUCAUUCUUGUCAUCAGGUGUACAGUAACAGUGCAAUAGGUGCUUUUUUCUCCUGGUGCCAGGGACUGAAGUACUCCAGCUUUGAAAAUACUGAAGGGAACAGUGAAGGAGGACUUUUUAACAUGACGUCUUCAGAAUGCCUGCAGUAACCUUGGAAACCACAACCAAAAGCUGUGUUGCUAGAGAAACAAACCAUUUUAUCCCUUCUCAAAUGAUGAGGGCAACCAGUUUACUGGAAGGAAAUUUUUGCCCGCACUUGAGAGGAGAUGUUUAGGAUUAACUGAGAAUUAUGGUGUAUAUAAGACUUAUUACGGUCUACUAAAAAUGGUCUUUUGCCAAAAAUAUCCUAUACAAACAUACAGCAAAUAUUCUUAUACAAAUGUCACUUGCAGGUGAUGUCUUUAAAAGCACAUUAUCAUUGUAUUGCAUUUGCUAUUUGAACAAAGUAUUGACUUUUCUGAUAAAACUGUUACACUUAUGUCCACUUAUCAUGGUUUAGCUAAUAUGAUGUCUGUCAAAGACCUAUUGAAGUAAAUCUUGAGGAUGAACUGCUUUAUAGUGCUUAGAUGCUACAAACCCC